UAUCCGUUUAAAAAAUGUUUCCCAAAAUUAGCAUACGCAUUUCAAAAAAAAGAAUGCCGGAAAGAAUGUGUGCGCUUCUGAUAUCAUCUUGCGCGUAUCACAGUGUAAAACUUCACAUGUCCUCUGCGCUCGUCACCGGCGAUGGUCUUUUCAUUUUUUUAAUAUUUUGUUCAAAGUCCCUUUUUCAGAAGAAGUGAAGACAAGAUUUUCAGAAAUGUCGGAGGAAUCGGACGAAACUGUCCCUCACGCGCUCACACUUUGGCUAGUUAUUUUGGUCCGGGAGGGUGCGUGGAAAAUCCACGGAGGGGUCCGAAUCGAUGAGAUAUGCGCUCGAUUGAGUGUCCCUGGCUACACUAGCGCUCAUCAGAAGGAGGGGAUGGACUCUCACUGUGUCCCAGCUGCUCUUUGAACAUGGAUGAGCUGCUAUUGCCAAACACUUUCCUUUGGCUUGCUAAUCACACUUUUCAUUUUUUUCCCCCCUCUCUCUUCCUCCCCUAUUCUUUGUGUGCUUCAGAGUUGGUAUUUAAGCAACAGCAAAUCAAAGACUCCUUCCCUUUGCACAAAGAUGCCUCCUUCACUUGAAAAGAGUAAAGCACAAAUGAUGUAGCACAAUUUGUAUUUCUUUUUCCCCCCUUUUUUUCUCGGGGGUGGGGGGGGAUCGUCUUCACUUUAUUAAGGAAAAUCAAAAUAGCUGCCUUUUAAAAAGCAAAAGUGGAUGCACUGUCCGCACUUUUUCAGAUCGUCAUGAAAAAAGAAUAAUUAGCCCACGCGAAAAGAGGAGAAUCGGUGACGUACAGAUGAGCAACUUUACAAUGCUUUCAUACAGAGGGUAUUCGUGCUGUACGAAUACAGGAUACCAUCAGGAUGGAGCUGCUCUCAGUGGCCUCCUCACCAUUACCGAGUGCUGCGCUCCAGUUUAAAACAGGCCUCAGACCUGCCUGACCCUUCACAUCAUGUAUUGCGGUUUAUAAAAGGACUAAGAGAAAAAACUGAAAUGGCCUGAGCCCUGCGACACCCUGCUGAUAACGCUAUCAAUGAUGCCAUAAUUUCACCUGAUACCUGGAGUAAGUGGAACCAUGGGGGGGCUCAGAGAAGAAGCCCUGCUGUGGCUCAGCUGAAACAGAGAUACGGGCUUUUCCAGAGGAAAGAGGAUUGCACGAGCUUCAGCCAUCAUGUUUCUCUGUAAAGCGGUCACCGGUUGGACAUUGAGCAUCAAGCCCCGCCGGGGAGACUGCGGUCUUCAGACGGUUUCACACAGAUGGUGCUGAGGCCUAGCCCAGCGUGGACUAGACGAGUUUCCCGGUGUAACAUUGUUGAUCCCUCAGAGACCGCCUAAAGCAAUGACUCCAGCGAGGGCAAACUAAAAAAACUGUGCAUUCAUCAUUAUUGCCAUGGGCUUUUGCAAAUGAUAAUCA